GAUCCCUGCUCAGAGCGAACGUUAGCGGCAGGCCUAACACAUGCAAGUCGCACGAGAAUCCGGGCUUCGGCCCGGUAGUAAAGUGGCGGACGGGUGAGUAACACGUGGGUAAUGUACCCUUCGGUGGGGGAUAACAGUCCGAAAGGAUUGCUAAUACCGCAUACGUCGGCGAGGCCUUAGGGCUUUGCCGGGAAAGGUGGCCUCUUCAUGAAAGCUACCUCCGAAGGAUCAGCCCGCGUCCCAUCAUGCUAGUUGGCGGUGUAAGAGACCACCAAGGCGAAGACGGGUAGCUGGUCUGAGAGGAUGAUCAGCCACACUGGAACUGAGACACGGUCCAGACUCCUACGGGAGGCAGCAGUGGGGAAUAUUGGGCAAUGGGCGCAAGCCUGACCCAGCCAUGCCGCGUGAGUGAUGAAGGCCUUCGGGUCGUAAAGCUCUGUGGGGAGGGACGAAACCGGUCUGGCUAAUAUCCAGACAGUCUGACGGUACCUCCUUAGCAAGCACCGGCA
rnacentral:rRNA from 1 species